UACGUAGGGGGCAAGCGUUGUCCGGAAUCAUUGGGCGUAAAGAGCGCGUAGGCGGUCCGGUAAGUCCGCUGUGAAAGUCAAGGGCUCAACCCUUGAAUGCCGGUGGAUACUGUCGGGCUAGAGUCCGGAAGAGGCGAGUGGAAUUCCUGGUGUAGCGGUGAAAUGCGCAGAUAUCAGGAGGAACACCGAUGGCGAAGGCAGCUCGCUGGGACGGUACUGGACGCUGAGGCGCGAAAGCGUGGGGAGCAAACAGG
rnacentral:rRNA from 1 species